rnacentral:ncRNA from 1 species
GACGGGUGUCCGCCGGCUGAGAUGAGACCCGUCGAACCUGAUCCGGGUAAUUCCGGCGGAGGAAGAGAGAU